AAACUGGAUUUCAGGAAGGACAGUUGUACCGCUGCUGCCACUCUCAGUAGCAGUCUAGAAUGCAUAGUCCUGCAUGGCAUUUCACUAGCCUGACACUUGUUAAUUACUGUGCAAGUUAAUUUCAUCUUAUUUCCUGACACAUGGAAAAGACGGGAAAUGGAUGCGGCUCUCAGUUUCACAAGCCUGGAUUUGAGCUUCCUGACAGAUAGUACACUGCAGGAAGUGAACUGGACAGAUUGACUCUCUGGUCUGUUGAAGCUGGAGAAAGUUCAAUAAGUCAGCUGUCAGUGUAGGGUCCCUUGCAGUCUCAGGAAUUUCAAUUUCAAAGUGCAAGAGAUUGAAGUUUCAAAACACAAGAUCAUCAAAAGCUAAUGAUUCCUGAAUUCUGCCAGGGGUGUGGAAGCAGGUGAGAAACAGUGGCUAUCAGAAGGGUGUGCAGGAGCUGAGACACUUCUUGCACAAGAUUAAUUCUGCAGGCGUUGUGAGGAGAGAAGAGAGCUUGAAUGUGAGGGGUGGGCCCCCUGAGAUAUUUCAAAGGCAUGGGAAGGGCCUUGUAUUCAUAUCUGCUCUCAUCUCUGUUGCUCCCUGGCCAAAUAGGUGAAUCUCCAAAGAGAAAGCCGAAUCACUGAAAAGGCAGGUGACCCUCAGCAGGAAUAGAGCUCAAGUUGUCUAUUAAAGAACAAAGCCUUAUUGCAUGAGAGGGUUUUCCAGACACUGUACUUUUGUAUGGUACAGGCUUGAGGUUUUUAUAUUCUAAAGAUAAGGUGAACAUUCAUCUUGAUUCCCCAGAACAGCCCCCCUUUUUUGCCUGCUGUCCCACUCAUGUCAAUAGUGAACCUCACUCUCAAAUGGAUUCCAGUUUGUUUCGCUCAAUAUGAUGUUUCUGAGAGUCAACCUUUUUGUUGAAAGUAGUUCUUCCUUUGCUAUUGCUGAGUACAUAUAAAAAAAUACAUACUGCAUGAUUUCAUUUAGAUGAAGUUCAUGAGCAGGCAAUGUUAAUUUACGAUGACAGAAAUGAGAAAAAUGGUUACCUUUAGGUAAGUAGGGAAGGUGGCCAGUGACUACGAAGGGUCUUGUUAGAGCUUUCUGGACUGAUGAGAAUUGUUUUCUUUAUUGCUCUCGGUGGUGGUUACAUG
rnacentral:lncRNA from 10 species